UACGAAGGGGGCGAGCGUUGUUCGGAAUCACUGGGCGUAAAGGGCGCGUAGGCGGCCCUCUUAGUCGCGUGUGAAAGCCCCGGGCUCAACCUGGGAACGGCGCGCGAAACGGGAGGGCUGGAGUUCGGGAGAGGGAUGCGGAAUUCCAGGUGUAGCGGUGAAAUGCGUAGAUAUCUGGAGGAACACCGGUGGCGAAGGCGGCAUCCUGGACCAUUACUGACACUGAAUAGCGAAAGCCAGGGGAGCAAACGGG
rnacentral:rRNA from 1 species